rnacentral:rRNA from 1 species
AGAGUUUGAUCCUGGCUCAGGAUGAACGCUAGCUACAGGCUUAACACAUGCAAGUCGAGGGGCAGCAUGGUCUUAGCUUGCUAAGGCCGAUGGCGACCGGCGCACGGGUGAGUAACACGUAUCCAACCUGCCGUCUACUCUUGGACAGCCUUCUGAAAGGAAGAUUAAUACAAGAUGGCAUCAUGAGUCCGCAUGUUCACAUGAUUAAAGGUAUUCCGGUAGACGAUGGGGAUGCGUUCCAUUAGAUAGUAGGCGGGGUAACGGCCCACCUAGUCUUCGAUGGAUAGGGGUUCUGAGAGGAAGGUCCCCCACAUUGGAACUGAGACACGGUCCAAACUCCUACGGGAGGCAGCAGUGAGGAAUAUUGGUCAAUGGGCGAGAGCCUGAACCAGCCAAGUAGCGUGAAGGAUGACUGCCCUAUGGGUUGUAAACUUCUUUUAUAAAGGAAUAAAGUCGGGUAUGGAUACCCGUUUGCAUGUACUUUAUGAAUAAGGAUCGGCUAACUCCGUGCCAGCAGCCGCGGUAAUACGGAGGAUCCGAGCGUUAUCCGGAUUUAUUGGGUUUAAAGGGAGCGUAGAUGGAUGUUUAAGUCAGUUGUGAAAGUUUGCGGCUCAACCGUAAAAUUGCAGUUGAUACUGGAUAUCUUGAGUGCAGUUGAGGCAGGCGGAAUUCGUGGUGUAGCGGUGAAAUGCUUAGAUAUCACGAAGAACUCCGAUUGCGAAGGCAGCCUGCUAAGCUGCAACUGACAUUGAGGCUCGAAAGUGUGGGUAUCAAACAGGAUUAGAUACCCUGGUAGUCCACACGGUAAACGAUGAAUACUCGCUGUUUGCGAUAUACUGCAAGCGGCCAAGCGAAAGCGUUAAGUAUUCCACCUGGGGAGUACGCCGGCAACGGUGAAACUCAAAGGAAUUGACGGGGGCCCGCACAAGCGGAGGAACAUGUGGUUUAAUUCGAUGAUACGCGAGGAACCUUACCCGGGCUUAAAUUGCAGAUGAAUUACGGUGAAAGCCGUAAGCCGCAAGGCAUCUGUGAAGGUGCUGCAUGGUUGUCGUCAGCUCGUGCCGUGAGGUGUCGGCUUAAGUGCCAUAACGAGCGCAACCCUUGUUGUCAGUUACUAACAGGUUCCGCUGAGGACUCUGACAAGACUGCCAUCGUAAGAUGUGAGGAAGGUGGGGAUGACGUCAAAUCAGCACGGCCCUUACGUCCGGGGCUACACACGUGUUACAAUGGGGGGUACAGAGGGCCGCUACCACGCGAGUGGAUGCCAAUCCCAAAAACCUCUCUCAGUUCGGACUGGAGUCUGCAACCCGACUCCACGAAGCUGGAUUCGCUAGUAAUCGCGCAUCAGCCACGGCGCGGUGAAUACGUUCCCGGGCCUUGCACUCACCGCCCGUCAAG